AUUGAACGCUGGCGGCAGGCCUAACACAUGCAAGUCGAACGAGUGGCGGACGGGUGAGUAAUGUCUGGGCAACUGCCCGAUGGAGGGGUAUAACUACUGUAAACGGUAGCUAAUAACGCAUACCAUUGGAUGUGGCCAGAGGGGAGUAGCUAGUAGGUGGGGUAAAGGCUCACCUAGGCGAGGAUCCAUAGCUGGCCUGAGAGGAUGACCAGCCACACUGGAACUGAGACACGGUCCAGACUCCUACGGUAGGCAGCAGUGGGGAAUAAUGAACAAUGGGCGCAAGCCUGAUGCAGCCAUGCCGCGUGUAUGAAGAAGGCCUUCGGGUUGUAAAGUACUUUCAGCGAGGAGGCGUUACUCGCAGAAGAAGCACCGGCUAACUCCGUGCCAGCAGCCGCGGUAAUAC
rnacentral:rRNA from 1 species